GAAAUGCGAUAAGCAAUGUGAAUUGCAGAAUUCAGUGAAUCAUCGAAUCUUUGAACUCACAUUGCGCCCGCCAGCACUCUGGCGGGCAUGCCUGUUCGAGCGUCAUUUCAACCAUCAAGCCCCCGGGCUUGCGUUGGGGACCUGCGGCUGCCCGCAGGCCCUGAAAACCAGUGGCGGGCUCCCUGUCACCCCGGUCGUAGUCGUAUCAUCUCGUCCACGGCUUGGCUGCGUGCUCCGGCAGUUAAACCUUCUCACAUCCAAAGGUUGACCUCGGAUCUGGUAGGAAUACCCGCUGAACUUAA
rnacentral:misc_RNA from 1 species